UCUUGGAAUGAAUAUCACAGACAUUUUAUUUAAGAUUUGCAGCUUUGCUAUAGCUUUGAAGGCUGGGUCAUUAGUGAUGUCAUUGUCAUGGGUGUGUUCACUUUGAUACUGUUUACAGCUCAUAGUGAUAAAACAUAAAGAGACGGAUUUCCUGAGGCAUCAUUUCAGUCUCAGAACAUGAUCAGACUAGGCUGCUCCUUGUUCUCAGCUAGAGCUCAGGGUCUCAGUUUUAACACAUAAUGUUUCAAAUAAUCUACUCGAGAGACUCUGGCCAAUGCAUCUGAGCCAUUUUACCUGAAGAUAUGUAUUUUAAAUGAGAAGUGGUGGAUGGUGGGCCACUAUGCAGGAAAGUAUGCAACAUGCCUGGGGUCUCAGCAAGAUCAAGCAGUGAGGAGGGUCCCACAGCAGCACAGCACCAGGGGCUUGGCACUUCUCAUGAAUAGGGAAAGCAAUUUUAACAUACAUCUCCACCUUUAA
rnacentral:lncRNA from 1 species